GCUCUUGGCACUAUGGCGGGGAGAGGGCCCGGUAGUGAAAGUUGUGGGGCUAAAGAGCGAGAGGACGGCAGGGGUUGACAGAUUUAUCUCUGGGAGGGGAGUUUGUUUGCAUGGGUGGCUCUUUUGGUGCUCGAAAACCCUCCGUGGGGAUGACGGUGCUGUGGUGAGAGCACGGUGAGAACAGAAAGUUGUGGUAGAGGAGAUGGGUGAACACCUGAGUGCCCAGGUUCCCUCAGUGAGGCCUAAAGUUAAUGAGCUACGAGUAAGACUCCGGUUAUAUUAGUAAAAUGGCCAGAGAAAGAUGCAGGUGCUUUAGACGAGGGAACACCAAAAAAGGUGUGGAGAUGCCAAAGGGCAGAACUCAGAGGUUGACUGGACUUCACUAAGCAUAUGGAGGGCUAAGGCUGUGUCUCAGUAGCUCCAGGGCCUAGGCUUUUCCUGUCUCAGAGUUGGUCAACAUUAAAUGCUUUUUCUUGAGUGAACGAAAGGAAGACUUGGCUAUCAUAUCCAGGCUUCCCAAGAACGUAGGAAACAGAAGAGAGAAAUGAGAGGAAUAAGUGAGGGUCCGUGUUUGUUGGUUAGCAGACCUCUGUUUCAUUACUUUCACCAACUGCACUGCUAUGUAUUUUUAGUCUAUGUAAUGUCAGUUUUCUUAUCAAUAAAAUGGCAGUCAUAUCCUGUUGUGAAGGCAUGUUCUAAAGAGUUUUUGGGGACUCAUUUUUGUUAGACACCAGAGGAAGAAAAAUUUAAUGUCCCCUGAAUAAGUACGUAUUUGUAAUUCUGUUGUAAGUCAAACUGAUGAUCUGUCUUCCCAGCAUCAUGCUUCAGAGACACCAGAUAUUUGGAAACUUGAUGUUCCUUGGAAUUAGUUAUACCAUCAGGCUUUCUUAAUUACCCUUCACUAUUCUAUUAUCCGUUAUUUACUCAAAUUCAAGGUGCCUAUGGGUUAAAGCAGUAAAGCAUAUAUGCUCAUUUCACCCCUCUCUUCAUCUAUGUAGGUGUGUAUGAGGGAAUCUAUACAGAUGUUAAUUCGUUCGUUCAAACAGAAUUAUUUUAGCUAUUAUGAGGAAGCAUUGCUGGGUGUUUUAGUAGAUGUAAAGGAUAUAGACUCUUGUCCUUACUAUCUAGUUGUUUAAAAUUUAGCUAAUUCAUUCACAUAUGUUGAACACCUAUGUAGUGCACACUUGGCUAUAUACUGGGUUGUGGAGAUGAAAAAGAUAUGAUUGUUGCUCUAAAGGAGCAGAGAGCCUAGAAGAGGAAACAGACAUGAAUAAAGAAUUGCAUUGAAGCCAGAUAUAUGAUAAAGGUAAACACCAAUGUUGUGGAAACAUAGCCUUGGGGAGGGGAAAUUGGAAAGCUUUCUAUUGGAAAAUGUUUGAGAUGAAUUUCGGAGAACAAGAUGAAUUCUUUCAGGUGAAGGGAAAGAUGGGAUAGGGGAGUGUGAGUAGGGAUAUUUAGGCAAGAGAUGACAGGAUACAGUUUAGCAUGGGCUUUGGAACUGCACAGAUCUGGGCUGAAUCUGGCGCCAUUGUUUUUUAACUGUAUAUCCUUGGACAGGUCUCAUAAUCUCUCAGAACCUUUGGUUCCUUGUCUAUAAAAUGGAUAAUAUCACUCUUGUAGGUCGAUUGUGAGAGUUAAAGAAGUGUGUAAAGGGAUGUAUUCAGAGCUUUACCUAUUGUUUGUUAUGUCCUUUAGGAAGAGUAUAAUGGCAGCAUUUGGAUAAUGGGUUGAGGAAGGAAGAAAGAAAAAAAAUAUGGAGACCAGUAAGGGGCUGUUGUGCCAAUUCAAGUGAAAGAUGAAAAAUAUGCAAACCAGAGCAUGGGCAGUGAAGAUGAGGGGAAAGGAGGCAAAUGGGAGACUGUUAAGUGAGAAACAGCAGGACUUGGCAACUGAUUGGAAGAGGUUAGAGAAUACUGGAAGGGGAGGAGAGUCACCAGUGAUUCCAAAAUUUAGAGCUUGGUAUAAUGGUGUUUAGCCUUAGGCAUAAAGAAGGUAGGAAUUGGAACAAAUUUUGGAGGGGCAUGGGGAAAAUAAAGAUGAAUUCAGUUUCUAAUCUUCUACGUUGUCUUUCUCCGUAGAAGAUUAGAAUUCAUAAACUAUAGAUGGAAAUAGUUUACAUAGAUACAGAGUCACUGACAGCAAUAGAAUGACGACUGAGAGCUGGCAUUAAAGGAGGAGAGAGAAAAAUUAAAAA
ensembl:lncRNA novel transcript, sense intronic to ST20-MTHFSand MTHFS